rnacentral:rRNA from 1 species
ACGAUGACUCUCGGCAACGGAUAUCUCGGCUCUCGCAUCGAUGAAGAAUGUAGCGAAAUGCGAUACCUGGUGUGAAUUGCAGAAUCCCGUGAACCAUCGAGUCUUUGAAUGCAAGUUGCGCCCGAGGCCACCCGGUCGAGGGCACGCCUGCCUGGGCGUCACGC